rnacentral:rRNA from 1 species
UCGGGGGUUACCCCCUUCGGUGCCGCAGCUAACGCAUUAAGUACUCCGCCUGGGAAGUACGCUCGCAAGAGUGAAACUCAAAGGAAUUGACGGGGACCCGAACAAGUAGCGGAGCAUGUGGUUUAAUGCGAAGCAACGCGAAGAACCUUACCUAAGCUUGACAUCCCAAUGACAUCUCCUUAAUCGGGGAGUUCCCUUCGGGGACAUUGGUGACAGGUGGUGCAUGGUUGUCGUCAGCUCGUGUCGUGAGAUGUU